rnacentral:rRNA from 1 species
CUACGGGUGGCAGCAGUGAGGAAUAUUGGGCAAUGGAGGCAACUCUGACCCAGCCAUGCCGCGUGCAGGAAGACGGUUCUAUGAAUUGUAAACUGCUUUUAUUCAGGAAUAAAAUUAGCUACGUGUAGUUGACUGAAUGUACUGAAUGAAUAAGCACCGGCUAACUCCGUGCCAGCAGCCGCGGUAAUACGGAGGGUGCAAGCGUUAUCCGGAUUUAUUAGGUUUAAAGGGUCCGUAGGCGGGAUCUUAAGUCAGUGGUGAAAGCCUGCAGCUUAACUGUAGAACAGCCAUUGAUACUGGGAUUCUUGAAUUUGAUUGAGGUAGGCGGAAUGAGAAGUGUAGCGGUGAAAUGCGUAGAUAUUUCUCAGAACACCAAUUGCGAAGGCAGCUUACUAAGUCAAUAUUGACGCUGAUGGACGAAAGCGUGGGUAGCGAACAGGAUUAGAUACCCUAGUAGUC